rnacentral:rRNA from 1 species
GGAGCCGUAGCGAAAGCAAGUCUGAAUAGGGCGUUUAGUUGCUGUUAAUUGACCCGAAGCGUUAUGAGCUAGUCAUGGCCAGGUUGAUCUGUCGCGAAGGCGACAAGGAGGACCGAACCGGUUGGAACUGCAAAUCCUUCGGAUGAGCCGUGUCUAGGAGUGAAAAGCUCAUCGAAUAGCGUGAUAGCUGGUUCUCUCCGAAACAAAUUUAGGUUUGACCUGCAAUUAAGAUCCGGUAGAGGUAGAGCUCUUAUAAGGCUAGGGGUGUCGAGAGACAUUACCAAACCUUGUUAAACUUCGAAUGCUACCGUAAAUAUUGUGGAGUUAGACGGUGACAGCAAAUUGCCAUCGUCGAAAGGGUAACAGCCCAGAUUUCUGACUAAGGUCCCUAAAUAAUAGCUAAGUGGGAAAAGAGGUGUCGCUGCUAAGACAUCUAGGAGGUUUGCUCAGAAGCAGCAAUCCUUUAAAGAGUGCGUAACAGCUCACUAGACAAGCGGCGAUGCGCUGAAGAUGUAACGGGGCUAAGCUAUUUACCGAAGUCGAAAGUCUAUUGAUUUAUCAAUAUGGCGGUAGGAGAGUGUUGUAUACGGGUUGAAGCUGAAGUGUAAGCGACAGUGGACUGUAUACAAGUAAUAAUGCUGAUAUGAGUAACGUAUGUAGAUGAAAAUUCUACACGUCGAAUACCUAAGGUUUCCUACGCAACGUUCAUCGACGUAGGGUUAGUCAGGACCUAAGCACAUCCUGAAAAGGUGUCGCGAUGGAUAACUAGUUAAUAUUCUAGUACUUAAAAUAUGGCGAUGGAGGAACGCAUUUGGAUUCAUUGGAGCCUCUUAAGGAUUGGGGUUGUAUAUCGAGGCUUGAUAGUAGGAAAAUCCGCUAUCUUUCGGCCGAGUAAAACACGUAGUCUGAGCAAUCAGACGUAAGUUCAGUUGUUUGGGUGCCAAGAAAAUCUUCUAGCUUAACAUAUUUUAACCUGUACCGAGAACAGACACAUGUAGGUUGGUAGAGAAUACCUAGACGGUCGAAACAACUAAUAACUAAGGAACUUGGCAAAAAAGCGGACGUAACUUCGGGAUAAGUCCUUCCCACAGCAAUGUGGGACGCAGCGAAUGUCGCGGGGGCGACUGUUUAUCACAAACACAGCUUCAUGCUAACACGUAAGUGGAUGUAUAUGAAGUGAUGCCUGUCCGAUGCCAGAAUGUUAAGCUCUCUUGUUCACGCUCGGGAGUCAAGCACUGGUGAAUGACGGCCGUAACUAUGACGGUCCUAAGGUAGCGAAAUUCCUUGUCGGGUAAGUUCCGACCCGCACGAACGGCAUAACGAUCCCCGCACUGUCUCAGUUUUAGUUUCGGUGAAAUUACAAUCCCGGUGAAAAUGCCGGGUAGAUGCAGUUAGACGUGAAGACCCCGUGAAGCUUCACUAUAGAUUGGUAUUGUAUCGUAGCGUAUGUUGCUCAGCAUAAGUAGAAGGCUUUGAAGUCCAAACUCUGGUUUGGGUGGAGCCAAAAAGUGAGAUACUACUCAUUGUACGUCGCGAUACUAACCCGCCAUUGGCGGGAACAGUGCUAGUUGGGUAGUUUACCUGGGGCGGGUGCCUCCUAAAGUGUAACGGAGGUGCACAAAGGUGUUCUUGGUACGGAUGGAAACCGUAUUGUAAGUGUAUUCGCA